rnacentral:rRNA from 1 species
CUUCUUUGCUGGCGACCGGCGCACGGGUGAGUAACACGUAUCCAACCUGCCCUUUACUCGGGGAUAGCCUUUCGAAAGAAAGAUUAAUACCCGAUAGCAUAAUGAUUCCGCAUGGUUUCAUUAUUAAAGGAUUCCGGUAAAGGAUGGGGAUGCGUUCCAUUAGGUUGUUGGUGGGGUAACGGCCCACCAAGCCUUCGAUGGAUAGGGGUUCUGAGAGGAAGGUCCCCCACAUUGGAACUGAGACACGGUCCAA